rnacentral:lncRNA from 1 species
GGUCCAAUGACCUUUUCCGUGCGUUUAGGUGUUUGAUUUACAGGAUUGACGGUCCGGAUCGAGCCCUUAACUUUGUCGGAUCAAGUUGAAUUUUUUUCCAUACAUGUAUUUUAUCAUGAUGGUCAGAUCUGACGGUUGGAUUUUCGUUUCUCAAGUUUGAUCAUCACAAUCACAAUAUGCCGAAUGUAUAAAAAGUACUUUAGCCGAUGAUAUUCACAGGUUUAGCCAACGAAUUUCAAAGGUUAGUCGACGAAUUUCAAAGGUUUAGUCGACGAAUUUCACAGGUUUAGCCAACGAAUUUCAAAGGUUAGCCGACGAAUUUCAAAGGUUAGCCCACGAAUUUCAAAGGUUUAGCCGACGAAUUUCAAAUUUUAGCAGACGAAUUUAAAGGUUUAGCCGACGAAGUAAAAAUUUAGUCGGCUAAAGUUAUAGGGUAUAUAAUUAAACCCAGCGCUCGACAGCCUCCACAUCGCGAGAAAAAACCCUAAAGCCCGGUCCGCCUCCUCCGCCUCCUCCAUGCUGGUCCGCCUCCUCGAGCCGCGGUCCACAGCCUCCUAGGUUUGGCCCAAUCUCCCUCUCCCGGUC